UGCAGUCGAACGGCAGCGGGAAAGUAGCUUGCUACUUUUGCCGGCGAGUGGCGAACGGGUGAGUAAUGUAUCGGAACGUGCCCAGUAGCGGGGGAUAACUACGCGAAAGCGUGGCUAAUACCGCAUACGCCCUACGGGGGAAAGGGGGGGAUCUUAGGACCUCUCACUAUUGGAGCGGCCGAUAUCGGAUUAGCUAGUUGGUGGGGUAAAGGCCUACCAAGGCGACGAUCCGUAGCUGGUUUGAGAGGACGACCAGCCACACUGGGACUGAGACACGGCCCAGACUCCUACGGGAGGCAGCAGUGGGGAAUUUUGGACAAUGGGGGAAACCCUGAUCCAGCCAUCCCGCGUGUGCGAUGAAGGCCUUCGGGUUGUAAAGCACUUUUGUCAGGGAAGAAAAGGUUUCGGAUAAUACCCGGAACUGAUGACGGUACCUGAAGAAUAAGCACCGGCUAACUACGUGCCAGCAGCCGCGGUAAUACGUAGGGUGCAAGCGUUAAUCGGAAUUACUGGGCGUAAAGCGUGCGCAGGCGGUUCGGAAAGAAAGAUGUGAAAUCCCAGGGCUCAACCUUGGAACUGCAUUUUUAACUACCGAACUAGAGUAUGUCAGAGGGGGGUGGAAUUCCACGUGUAGCAGUGAAAUGCGUAGAUAUGUGGAGGAACACCGAUGGCGAAGGCAGCCCCCUGGGAUAAUACUGACGCUCAUGCACGAAAGCGUGGGGAGCMAAACAGGAUUAGAUACCCUGGUAGUCCACGCCCUAAACGAUGUCAACUAGCUGUUGGGGCCCUUC
rnacentral:rRNA from 1 species